UACGGAGGGUGCAAGCGUUGUCCGGAUUUAUUGGGUUUAAAGGGUACGUAGGUGGGCUAUUAAGUCAGUGGUGAAAGCCUGCAGCUUAACUGUAGAAUUGCCAUUGAUACUGAUAGUCUUGAGUAUGGUCGAGGUAGGCAGAAUUUAUGGUGUAGCGGUGAAAUGCAUAGAUACCAUAAGGAAUACCGAUAGCGAAGGCAGCUUACUGGGCCGUUACUGACACUAAUGUACGAAAGCGUGGGGAGCAAACGGG
rnacentral:rRNA from 1 species